rnacentral:rRNA from 1 species
UACGUAGGGGGCAAGCGUUGUCCGGAAUCAUUGGGCGUAAAGAGCGUGUAGGCGGCUCGGUAAGUCCGCUGUGAAAGUCCAGGGCUCAACCCUGGAAUGCCGGUGGAAACUGUCGAGCUAGAGUCCGGAAGAGGCGAGUGGAAUUCCUGGUGUAGCGGUGAAAUGCGCAGAUAUCGGGAGGAACACCGGUGGCGAAGGCGGUUCUCUGGGCCUGUACUGACGCUGAGGAGCGAAAGCAUGGGGAGCGAACAGG